GGAGAUGUACCCAAGUGGCUGAAGGGUCCGCACUCGAAAUGCGGUAGGCCGGCACUCCCGGUGCGAGGGUUCAAAUCCCUCCAUCUCCG
rnacentral:tRNA from 1 species